rnacentral:rRNA from 1 species
UACGUAGGGUGCAAGCGUUGUCCGGAAUUAUUGGGCGUAAAGAGCUCGUAGGCGGUCUGUCGCGUCGGCUGUGAAAACUCGGGGCUCAACCCCGAGCCUGCAGUCGAUACGGGCAGACUAGAGUGCUGUAGGGGAGACCGGAAUUCCUGGUGUAGCGGUGAAAUGCGCAGAUAUCAGGAGGAACACCGGUGGCGAAGGCGGGUCUCUGGGCAGUAACUGACGCUGAGGAGCGAAAGCGUGGGGAGCGAACAGG